AGUAUCUGCCUGCCUACCGUUCCACGUAGUACUUACUAUAUUUAAGAAGUCCACUGUGUAUUUAUUAAAGUUAAAUAAAAUAAAGUUAUAAAGCUCAAAACCCCACUCGGUAUCCUACAUACAUAUGUAUGUAUAUGUAAAAUAGGCGAGUGAAGGCGAGAAAAAUCGCAGGCGAUCUGUUACUUCUCAGCUUGACAAGGAAUAUAUGAAGCAAAAGAUGAAUAAAAACUAAUAUAUUUCAUUCUUGGAUAUAUAAGCUAAAUUGUUGACAAACCUUGAAAAAUAUACUCUGAUAAGAUUUGAUCUCACAACAUUA